AAAAGAUAAGCUAAUUUUAAGCUAGUGGGUUCAUACCCCAUAAAUGUGAGCUGAAUCUCACUCUUUUU
rnacentral:tRNA from 1 species